ACAUGUGUAUUUGUUAAAGUUUGAAAACAGAUAUAAUAACAGCUAGCUGACAUUAAGGGAGUGUGCUUAUAUUCCGUUCCUUGUAGAAAUAGAGUAGUUAGUACUAUUAUUCAUUCAGCUCCGAUACUCGGAGUCUGUACAGUGCUUCAUAGCAGACAGCAGUGGUGAUUAGCUUAUAUAUAUAUAUCUCCGGGAUGACCGGCAAGGAGAUGGACUGCGCGGCCAUAGAUAAUGUCAGCAGAAAGAGGAAAUGUUUACACAGUGAGUUCUCUUUGUUAUUUUUCUUCCGAGGAGUAAUGUAAUUGUUCUUGUUCACAGAGGGCUCUGAUGUGUUCGAUGUCCGGAGUUCUUCUGCUGCAUGGUGCAAAGCUAUUAGUUUCAUCCUUAUCAAAGCAGUGAGAAGGAGAAUACUGUUGCAUAGGGCUCAGAUACUCAAGGCUCUGCACUGUAUAGCACAUAGCUAUAGUUAAUUUCAUUAUUGUCAUAAUUGUAUCUCUAGAGUAUCAGUACCAGUAAACUGUGUGGCAAUGAUUUACAUUGGACCUUUGAUGCAUUCUCUGCUCCGGAGUGUCGGUGGCAUUGACAGUGGAAUGUGUGGCCGGGGUUUGUGACGGCAGUAGAGGGGACUGCUCAUGAUGUCUCCCUUAUCCGGAUCUCAUCUUAUUAGUUCCAUGGCUUCGUUCAGACCUCUUGGUGUUAAAGUGCCCAACCUGAAGAUCCAGUACAUCUCCCUCCUGCAACCACAGCUAUGCAGUGCACUAUCACUGCUUUGAUAAGGAUGAAACUAAUAGCUUUGCACCAUGCAGCAGAAGAACUCCGGACAUCGAACACAUCAGAGCCCUCUGUGAACAAGAACAAUUACAUUACUCCUCGGAAGAAAAAUAACAAAGAGAACUCACUGUGUAAACAUUUCCUCUUUCUGCUGACAUUAUCUACGGCCGCGCAGUCCAUCUCCUUGCCGGUCAUCCCGGAGAUAUAUAUAUAAGCUAAUCACCACUGCUGUCUGCUAUGAAGCGCUGUACAGACUCAGAGUAUCGGAGCUGAAUGAAUAAUAGUACUAACUACUUAUUUCUACAAGGAACGGAAUAUAAGCACACUCCCUUAAUGUCAGCUAGCUGUUAUUAUAUCUGUUUUCAAACUUUAACCAAUACACGUGUUUAUCCCAUUGUUGCAAUGCGCAUGUCUCAAGAUGUAUCAGUGACGUCACCUCCGUCCUGUUAAGUUUCCCGCGCGCUAUGUAUAUUUAAAUCCCCUCACUCCUAUGACCCCCCAGACCUGACGAAGCAAGGGGAUCCUUGCGAAACGCGUUGUCUCUGUACCUGUUUUUAUUUCAUUUUAUA